GAACUUUCCCCUGCCAUCUGUACCCAGAAGACAUUGCUUCGCUACACAGCAGUUGUCGGAGGGCACAGGAAGCCGAACACCUGGGCGGUGGCCCCAGAUGGCUGACAGCUUCAGGAGCCAGGCUGCAGGAUGGCAGAGGAUCUUUACAUCUAAAGGGCCACUCUCCAUGGCCCUGUCUUGGCCAGCUCCUUGUGACACUGCAACUCCGGGCAAUGUUUCCUGACCCUGACCGUGCAGCCAUUUUGGUGGAACUGUCAGCAGAGCCUGAGGUACAAGGUUCUGCCUAUGCUGAAGAUGAAGAGGAUGCUGAAGAUGAAGAGGAUGCUGAAGAUGAAGAGGAUGCUGAAGAUGAAGAGCCAACUGGGGAAAUGGCUGCAGACUGCUAAGCUGUAGUCCCUCGCUCUCCUGUUCAUCUGUACACGUGGGCUGUCAGCGACGGGACUGGUGGCAGCUGAGGAAACACGUUCUGACAAAUGUUCAUCGGGGAGAGCAAAGCAAAAUGGUCAGGGAGUGGAGAGAAGCAGCCAUCCAUGUGGAGCGGGAAGCAAGGACGUGAACUGGUGAAGCGGCUGCCCUUCCUCAAGCUCUGCCGUCAGCUUGAUACCUGAGAAAAUAAACGGAGGAAAUCUUA
rnacentral:lncRNA from 1 species